GGCAGCGUCCCAUAAUCUGGUAUUGGAGCCGACUCGAAAUCGGUGGGCGUAGUCCCUUGCAGGUUCAAAUCCUGUCGUUGCCU
rnacentral:tRNA from 1 species